rnacentral:rRNA from 1 species
GACGAACGCUGGCGGCGUGCUUAACACAUGCAAGUCGAACGGAAAGGCCCUGCUUUUGUGGGGUGCUCGAGUGGCGAACGGGUGAGUAACACGUGAGUAACCUGCCCUUGACUUUGGGAUAACUUCAGGAAACUGGGGCUAAUACCGGAUAGGAGCUCCUGCUGCAUGGUGGGGGUUGGAAAGUUUCGGCGGUUGGGGAUGGACUCGCGGCUUAUCAGCUUGUUGGUGGGGUAGUGGCUUACCAAGGCUUUGACGGGUAGCCGGCCUGAGAGGGUGACCGGCCACAUUGGGACUGAGAGACGGCCCAGACUCCUACGGGAGGCAGCAGUGGGGAAUAUUGCACAGUGGGCGGAAGCCUGAUGCAGCAACGCCGCGUGCGGGAUGACGGCCUUCGGGUUGUAAACCGCUUUCGCCUGUGACGAAGCGGGAGUGACGGUAAUGGGUAAAGAAGCACCGGCUAACUACGUG